rnacentral:rRNA from 1 species
AUACGGAGGGUGCAAGCGUUAUCCGGAUUUACUGGGUUUAAAGGGUACGCAGGCGGUAAUUUAAGUCAGUGGUGAAAGCCUACAGCUCAACUGUAGAACUGCCAUUGAAACUGAAUUACUUGAGUAUGGUAGAGGUAGGCGGAAUACAACAUGUAGCGGUGAAAUGCAUAGAUAUGUUGUAGAACACCGAUUGCGAAGGCAGCUUACUAAACCAUUACUGACGCUCAUGUACGAAAGCGUGGGGAGCGAACAGGAUUAGAAACCCCAGUACUCC